GGAAAUUAAAUAACAAGGCUACAAAUCAGUGCGAAGUUUGAAACUUGAGUCAACGAAAACUUGGCCGUCGACAUCAGAAGCUCUUCCUUACCUUUCUUGACAAAAGCCUCCUGGCCCUCAAAUGAGCAGGCAUCUUUGCAUUCUGUAGAUUCCCAAAGAGAAGAAACCUGGUCACAGCAGGCAACUUCUCAGGGGCAGUAACCAAGACUACUCAUCACUUCCCCGGCUGGAUGUCUCUCUGUUUCCACUGCGGAAGGCGUAGCAUCUUAACCCUCAUGUAUACAGAGGGCCCGUGAGGACCGAGAAGUCACAGAUGAACAGACUCAGCACAGAGGGACAGCUAGAGACA